CAGAAGGUAGUUUAAAUAAAAAUACUGGUUUUGGGGACCAGCGAUGGAUUUUUACAUUCUCCUUUUGAUGU
rnacentral:tRNA from 1 species